CUAAUACAUGCAAGUCGAGCGGACCGACGGGAGCUUGCUCCCUUAGGUCAGCGGCGGACGGGUGAGUAACACGUGGGUAACCUGCCUGUAAGACUGGGAUAACUCCGGGAAACCGGGGCUAAUACCGGAUGCUUGAUUGAACCGCAUGGUUCAAUCAUGAAAGGCGGCUUCGGCUGCCGUUUACAGAUGGACCCGCGGCGCAUUAGCUAGUUGGUGAGGUAACGGCUCACCAAGGCGACGAUGCGUAGCCGACCUGAGAGGGUGAUCGGCCACACUGGGACUGAGACACGGCCCAGACUCCUACGGGAGGCAGCAGUAGGGAAUCUUCCGCAAUGGACGAAAGUCUGACGGAGCAACGCCGCGUGAGUGAUGAAGGUUUUCGGAUCGUAAAGCUCUGUUGUUAGGGAAGAACAAGUACCGUUCGAAUAGGGCGGUACCUUGACGGUACCUAACCAGAAAGCCACGGCUAACUACGUGCCAGCAGCCGCGGUAAUACGUAGGUGGCAAGCGUUGUCCGGAAUUAUUGGGCGUAAAGCGCGCGCAGGCGGUUUCUUAAGUCUGAUGUGAAAGCCCCCGGCUCACCGGGGAGGGUCAUUGGAAACUGGGGAACUUGAGUGCAAAGAGGAGAGU
rnacentral:rRNA from 1 species